AGGACGAACGCUGGCGGCGUGCCUAACACAUGCAAGUCGAACGAAGUCUAAUCUGUAGCAAUACAGAGGAAAACUUAGUGGCGAACGGGUGAGUAGCACGUGAGCAACCUGCCCCGAAGACCGGGACAACACCGGGAAACCGGUGCUAAUACCGGAUAUCUCCACCGAGCCGCAUGGCUUGGUGAGGAAAUGGAUUCCGCUUUGGGAGGGGCUCGCGGCCUAUCAGCUUGUUGGUGAGGUAACGGCUCACCAAGGCUUCGACGGGUAGCUGGUCUGAGAGGACGAUCAGCCACACUGGGACUGAGACACGGCCAGACUCCUACGGGAGGCAGCAGUGGGGAAUCUUGCACAAUGGGCGAAAGCCUGAUGCAGCAACGCCGCGUGAGGGACGAAGGCUUUCUGAGUUGUAAACCUCUUUCAGCAGGGACGAUUGUGACGGUACCUGCAGAAGAAGCCCGGCCAACUACGUGCCAGCAGCCGCGGUAAU
rnacentral:rRNA from 1 species